GGACUCAGUUCAGCAGCAUAUAUACUAAAACUGGAAUGACACAUAAAAUCAGCAUGGCCCCUGAAUAAGGAUGAUACCCAAAUUUGUGAAACAUUCCAUAUUUUU